CCUGGUUGAUCCUGCCAGUAGUCAUAUGCUUGUCUAAAAGAUUAAGCCAUGCAUGUAUAAGCUAAAGCUGAUAAAUAGUGAAGCCGCGGACAGCUCAUUAAUACACUCAUAAUCUUCGCAAUGCAUCCAAUAUGGAUAUCUGUGCUAAUUUUAGAGCUAAUACACGCAAUCAAGCCCCUUAAUUGGGGAGCAUUUAUUAGAACAAAACCGAUCGGGGUCUCCCCGCUGUUGGUGAAUCUGAAUAACUGUGCAGAUCGCAGGUCUUUGUACCGGCGACACAUUGCAAGAGUGAGUGCCUUAUCAACUGUCGAUGGUAGUAUAUAUGCCUACCAUGGUUAUUACGGGUAACGGAGAAUUAGGGUUUGACUCCGGAGAGGCAGCCUGAGAGACGGCUACCAGUUCUAAGGAACGCAGCAGGCGCGCAAAUUACACAAUGACAGUAAACUGUUGAUGUAGUGACAAGAGGUAACGGGGCGGUCCUCUAUGAGGCCCGUCAUUGUAUUGAGUAAAACUCAAAAUAUUUAACGAAACCAAUUGGAGGGCAAGUCUGGUGCCAGCAGCCGCGGUAAUUCCAGCUCCAAAAGCAUAUAUUAAAGUUGUUGCGGUUAAAAAGCUCGUAGUUGGAUCCAUGACCUCGGAGGGCGGUCCCCCACUGGGUGCGUACUGCUGCUCCGAGUCCCAUCUGUCAGUUUGUCUGUGUUGCCUUUAAUCGGGUGGCACAGGUGACUGACGUGUUUACUUUGAAAAAAUUAGAGUGUUUAAAGCAGGCGUUGAAUGCCUGAAUAGUGGUGCAUGGAAUAAUGGAAUAGGAUCUCGGUUCUAUUUUGUUGGUUCAAGAGCAUGAGAAAAUGAUUAAGAGGGACAGACGGGGGCAUUUGUAUUGCUGCGUUAGAGGUGAAAUUCUUGGAUCGUAGCAAGACAAACUACUGCGAAGGCAUUUGCCAAGAAUGUUUUCAUUAAUCAAGAACGAAAGUUAGAGGUUCGAAGGCGAUCAGAUACCGCCCUAGUUCUAACCGUAAACCAUGUCGACUAGCUAUCUGUCAGCGUUAAUAAUGACCUGACAGGCAGCUUACCGGAAACGAAAGUUUCUCGAUUCCGGGGGUAGUAUGGUUGCAAAGCUGAAACUUAAAGGAAUUGACGGAAGGGCACCACCAGGAGUGGAGCCUGCGGCUUAAUUUGACCCAACACGGGAAAACUCACCCGGCCCGGACACCGUAAGGAUUGACAGAUUAAUAGCUCUUUCUCGAUUUGGUGAUUGGUGGUGCAUGGCCGUUCUUAGUUGGUGGAGCGAUUUGUCUGGUUAAUUCCGAUAACGAACGAGAUUCUAACUUACUAACUAGUUCCACGAUCCC
rnacentral:rRNA from 1 species